GAGUCAGAAACACUCAGGAUGGGACCUAGCAGUCUGUGUUUUAACAAGUCCUCCAGGUGAUUCUGAUGCUAGCUUAGCAGUGGAGAACCAUGGCUUUAAAGCAGCGAUGAGGACAGUUGCUGCUGCUGCUUCUGCUAAGUUGCUUCAGUCGUGUUCGACUCUGCGACCCUAUGGACGACAGCCCACCAGGCUCCCCCGUCCCUGUGAUUCUCCAGGCAAGAACACUGAAGUGGGUUGCCAUUUUCUUCUCCAGUGCAUGAAAGUGAAAAGUGAAGGUGAAAUCGCUCAGUCGUGUCUGACUCUUAGCGACCGCAUGGACUGCAGGCUAUCAGGCUCCUCCGGCCAUGGGAUUUUCCAGGCAAGAGUACUGGAGUGGGGUGCCAUUGCCUUCUCCGGAUGAGGAGAGUAGAACACAGCUAAACUUUUGUGCUGUAAAUGCUACUUCAGAAUUAUAAACUCCAAUGUGAUAAAAUUGGCUGGGAAUCACUUGCUCUGGAACUUCUUAGGAGUAUGAGACUGGUCACACUGUGAGCUGUUAAAGUCUCUAACUCCCUGGGCAGGGUGUGUUAACGUGGAGCUGGAGUUUUCCAAAGGAGCUACCAUAAUCUGUGGACUCAAUGAUCCGUUAAUGACACCUGAAUGCUCACAGCAGAGCCCACCUCCACCUGCUGCUGCUCAUGGCUGGCCCGGUGAGGAUGCAGGUGCAUGGUAAGCACCCAAAUCAACAAUUAAGCUCACUUUUAUUAGUGGCUUCUGCUUACAAAACAGAGCUCUCGGGGAGCAUGAUUCAGUCUAGACAAAAACCUGGCAGCUCAGAAGAGUCUCACUGUUGGGGACCAGUGACAUCUUGUUAUAAUAAGGAGAGCCAGAAGAGUAAUAUUAUUCUGUUUUCACCUUCAUAGACUCUUACGGCCUAUUAUGGGGAUUACUAAAAACAAUUGUUUCCCACCUUAAACCUUCAAUUCUCCCCUCUAACAGUAAGGAAUUUUAAAGAAAAUAGGCAUUCCAUCUCUUCCAGGUGAACUAAGAUUAAUUCCUUUGGAAGUGUCACAUUUAGUUUGCUAAGAAAAAAAAAAGUCCACUGAGUGUGUAUAACUCUAAAAAAGCUUAAUACACUGGCAAUACAAAUGUUAAUAAAUAAAAACAUCUGUAAGCACAACUUAAGAAAUAUACCUAUCAGGGCUCUAGCUGAAAACAAAAAAAAAAAAAGAAGAAGAAGAAGAAAAGUACCCCUUAUAGGAGCCCAGCUCUGUGUGGGACAUUUUGCCUUCAUGUUUUCAUUUUAUUCCAGACAACCUUUUAAGAUUUUAAAAUGUGAACAGGGCCUUCUAUUGUUUGACACCCACAGACUUCUUUUAAGCUUGUGUCUUCAACCUGUGUGUUCCUUUUUAGUUAAUGGAGUAAUGAUAGCCCACAUGAGCCAUUUUUAAUUCUACCUAGAAGUUUAGUUGUCUAAUAGUUCUUAGAGCAUACUUGAAACAAUUGGAAAAAUACAUCAGUAUUUGUUAAAAAAAAUUCCCACAAUGCUUUAAUUGUCACAUGAGUAAUAGUAUCCAUUCUACUUUAAUUGACAUUAGAAAAUAGUACCACUGUACUUGAGUAAAGCAAACCAUCAAAAAAAAGUUGUAACAUAUUUAGGGAAGAAAAAGAAAACCUGAACAAUUCCUUUUUCAGAACAGCUCAGUUUUAUGAAGUGUGGAAAAAAAAAAACACACAAUGUUUAAAGAAUCUGCAUUUUGGAUUUGACAUUAAUAGAUCAUUGAACUGUUACUUUUGGCCAGUAUUGUUGAAGAGAUUGACUAUUGAUCAGUUAUUAAAAUUUACAUUCAUGGAAGAAUUCCUAGGUAGUAGACUAGAAGCUUUUUGCACUUCCCUUUUAUCAACCAAUUGAGCAAUAUGAUUGCAAAGAGAAAGUUGUACCUAAACAAGUUUUUAUCUGUGGCUGUUAAGAAUACAAAACAUAACAGCAGAAACUAACGAAGAACUGUACCUUCAUGUCUGAGUUCUACUAACUGUUGCUAGCAGCCUGGCAGUGUGUGUCUACAAUGCUUGUCCUACAGUUUUCAACUAAUCAACUGUCACAGAUACAUCACCAUGAGAAGGAAACAAGUAGCUUUUUUUCUCUGGCUCACUGGGCAUACCAUGAAGGUGGUCAGAGCCCUGGCCCUCUCCUCUCCCCACCCCUUCUCCUGGAGUCUUCAUCCCGUGGCCUACAUCUGUGCACUUUAGCUGCAUACGGCUAUUUCAAUUAAAAAUUUUUUUUUCCAUUCAUAUAAACAUUUAUUUGCUAUUUGAACUUCGGAAUUGACUUCAAAUGAGCAUUGGAAGAUAACAAAUCAAUAUAGAUGCUUUGUAGUAUAAUUUUCCAAAUAACUUGUUAAGAUCUUUUUUAUAAAAUUAGCUGGGACAGCCCAAAUGUGGCAUUUUAUGUAGCCAGAAGAAAUUGCUUUUUGGAUGAAUGAUAACAUGGCAGAAUGUUUUCACAUAGCAAAAUUGUUUAAUCGUUUAAUAAAAAAGAAAAGCAUACAAAAUGAAAAAAAAAAAAAAAAACCCAAACACAUUUUAACUGGCUUAAUCUCACUGGGCAAUUGCUGGGGAGUUCUUCGUUUUCUCUCCAAUCUAUUUGACUUUACUGAUUUUUGACAUUUUAAUUCUUCCUCAGCAUUCUGAGAAAUGCUUUCCCAUUAGAAGCACUGAUCCUGGCUUCUAUACUCCUGGGUGAGGUAUUGUAAUCAUCUGUUUAAACAGGCCACCAUAUCCACACCCCAGUAGGAAGGCGAGAAUCAAGGGAGGUUUUCUGGAUUAUCU
ensembl:lncRNA